UAUUGGACAAUGGGCGCGAGCCUGAUCCAGCAAUACCGCGUGUGUGAAGAAGGCCUUAGGGUUGUAAAGCACUUUCAAUUGGGAGGAAAACCUGCCGGUCAAUACCCGGUAGCUUGACAUUACCUUUAGAAGAAGCACCGGCUAACUCCGUGCCAGCAGCCGCGGUAAUACGGAGGGUGCGAGCGUUAAUCGGAAUUACUGGGCGUAAAGCGUGCGUAGGCGGUUCGUUAAGUCAGAUGUGAAAGCCCUGGGCUCAACCUGGGAACUGCAUUUGAAACUGGCGGACUAGAGUUUAGUAGAGGGGAGUGGAAUUUCAGGUGUAGCGGUGAAAUGCGUAGAUAUCUGAAGGAACACCAGUGGCGAAGGCGACUCCCUGGACUAGAACUGACGCUGAGUACGAAA
rnacentral:rRNA from 1 species